rnacentral:rRNA from 1 species
GUGGGGAAUAUUGCACAAUGGGCGCAAGCCUGAUGCAGCGACGCCGCGUGGGGGAUGACGGCCUUCGGGUUGUAAACCUCUUUCGUCAGGGAAGAAGCCUUUUUGGGGUGACGGUACCUGGAGAAGAAGCACCGGCUAACUACGUGCCAGCAGCCGCGGUAAUACGUAGGGUGCGAGCGUUGUCCGGAAUUAUUGGGCGUAAAGAGCUUGUAGGCGGUUUGUCGCGUCUGCGGUGAAAACCCGGGGCUUAACCUUGGGCGUGCCGUGGGUACGGGCAGGCUAGAGUGUGGUAGGGGAGACUGGAAUUCCUGGUGUAGCGGUGAAAUGCGCAGAUAUCAGGAGGAACACCGAUGGCGAAGGCAGGUCUCUGGGCCAUAACUGACGCUGAGAAGCGAAAGCAUGGGGAGCGAACAGGAUUAGAUACCCUAGUAGUCC